ensembl:snoRNA
AAGACUAUACUUUCAGGGAUCAUUUCUAUAGUUCGUUACUAGAGAAGUUUCUCUGAACGUGUAGAGCACCCGAAACCACGAGGAGGAGGCGUAGCGUUCUCUCCUGAGCGUGAAGCCGGCUCUUGGUGUCGCUUGUGUGACUGCCAUUUGCCAUUGAUGAUCGUUCUUCUCUUCCACUUGGGGGAGUAAGAGGGAGAAAACGCAAUCUGAGUGGUU